AUUGAACGCUGGCGGCAGGCCUAACACAUGCAAGUCGAGCGGAUGAGGGGUGCUUGCACCCCGAUUCAGCGGCGGACGGGCGAGUAAUGCCUAGGAAUCUGCCCGCUAGUGGGGGACGACGUUUCGAAAGGAACGCUAAUACCGCAUACGUCCUACGGGAGAAAGUGGGGGCUCUUCGGACCUCACGCUAUCGGAUGAGCCUCGGUCGGAUUAGCUAGUUGGUGGAGUAAAGGCUCACCAAGGCGACGAUCCGUAACUGGUCUGAGAGGAUGAUCAGUCACACUGGAACUGAGACACGGUCCAGACUCCUACGGGAGGCAGCAGUGGGGAAUAUUGGACAAUGGGCGAAAGCCUGAUCCAGCCAUGCCGCGUGUGUGAAGAAGGUCUUCGGAUUGUAAAGCACUUUAAGUUGGGAGGAAGGGCUGUAGGCUAAUAUCCUGCAGUUUUGACGUUACCGACAGAAUAAGCACCGGCUAACUUCGUGCCAGCAGCCGCAGUAA
rnacentral:rRNA from 1 species